GAAUUUAAGCAUAUUAAUUAGGGGAGGAAAAGAAACUAACAAGGAUUUUCUUAGUAGCGGCGAGCGAAAAGAAAACAGUUCAGCACUAAGUUACUUUGUUUUGAGAGCAAAUGUAAGAUGCAGUGUAUGGAACUUCUAAAAUCUAGUAUGAAUAUUAACGAUUUAAGUCCUUCUUGAAUGAGGCCAUUUAUAUCCAUAGAGGGUGCCAGGCCCGUAUAACGUUAAUGAUUACUAGAAGAUGUUUCCAAAGAGUCGUGUUGCUUGAUAGUGCAGCACUAAGUUGGUGGUAAACUCCAUCUAAAACUAAAUAUAACCAUGAGACCGAUAGUAAACAAGUACCGUGAGGGAAAGUUGAAAAGAACUCUGAAUAGAGAGUUAAAUAGUACGUGAAACUGCUUAGGGGUUAAGCCCGAUGAACCUGAAUAUCCAAUUAUGGAAAAUUCAACAUUAAUAUUUAUAAAUUUUAUAUUUAUAAAGAAUGGUGUGCACUUUUUCUAUAUUAAGGACAUUGUAAUCUAUUAACAUAUACAUAUUAUAUUUAUCAGAAGAUCAUAUUGCUUUUAAAGUUUAUUCAAAUUAAUUUAUUUAUUUAAAUUAACAUAAAAUAAAUGCAUAAUGAUUUGAUAAAGUGUUGAUAGAAUUUAAUAAUAUAUAGUGCUUAUUAAAUUUAUUUAAUUAAAGGAUAUUAUAUAUUAUAUAUGAUAUUUUUUAUGCACUAAUAUGAUUAACAAUGCGAAAGAUUCAGGAUACCUUCGGGACCCGUCUUGAAACACGGACCAAGGAGUCUAACAUAUGUGCAAGUUAUUGGGAUUUAAAAAUUUGUUUACAAAUUUUUAUAAAUAAAAUGAAACCCAAAAGCGUAAAUAACUUGACUUAAUAAAUGGGAUUAAUUUUUAGAAAUUUAAUAUUCUAAUUAUUCAAUCCUGGGGCGUUCUUUAUAGUUAUGUAUAAUAGUAUUUUUAAUAUUAUUUAUACCUCUAACUGGAGCGUACCUUGAGCAUAUAUGCUGUGACCCGAAAGAUGGUGAACUAUACUUGAUCAGGUUGAAGUCAGGGGAAACCCUGAUGGAAGACCGAAACAGUUCUGACGUGCAAAUCGAUUGUCAGAAUUGAGUAUAGGGGCGAAAGACCAAUCGAACCAUCUAGUAGCUGGUUCCUUCCGAAGUUUCCCUCAGGAUAGCUGGUGCAUUUAAAAUUUAUAUAAAAUAAUCUUAUCUGGUAAAGCGAAUGAUUAGAGGCCUUAGGGUCGAAACGACCUUAACCUAUUCUCAAACUUUAAAUGGGUAAGAACCUCACCUUUCUUGAUAGUGAAGGUUGUGGUUAUGAUAUAUUGUGCCCAGUGGGCCACUUUUGGUAAGCAGAACUGGCGCUGUGGGAUGAACCAAACGUAAUGUUACGGUGCCCAAAUUAACAACUCAUACAGAUACCAUGAAAGGCGUUGGUUGCUUAAAACAGCAGGUCGGUGGACAUGGAAGUUGUAAUCCGCUAAGGAGUGUGUAACAACUCACCUGCCGAAGCAACUAGCCCUUAAAAUGGAUGGCGCUUAAGUUGUAUACCUAUACAUUACCGCUAAAGUAAAUGAUUUAUAUAAUUAUAUAUAUAUAAAUUUUGAAACUUUAGUGAGUAGGAAGGUACAAUGGUGUGCAUAGAAGUGUUUGGCGUGAGCCUGCAUGGAGCCGCCAUUGGUACAGAUCUUGGUGGUAGUAGCAAAUAAUCGAAUGAGACCUUGGAGGACUGAAGUGGAGAAGGGUUUCGUGUGAACAGUGGUUGAUCACGAGUUAGUCGGUCCUAAGUUCAAGGCGAAAGCUGAAUAUUUUCAAGUAAUUUAUAAAUAUAUAUAAAUAUGCAAUACUUGAUAUAUAUUGAACGAAAGGGAAUACGGUUCCAAUUCCGUAACCUGUUGAGUAACCGUUUGUUAUUAAAUAUGGGCAUUGCGCUCAUCCUGGCAACAGAAACGACCAUAAAGAAGCCGUCGAGAGAUAUCGGAAGAGUUUUCUUUUCUGUUUUAUAAUCGUAUUACCAUGGAAGUCUUUCGAAGAGAGAUAUGGUAAAUGGAUUAGAAGAGCAUGACAUAUACUGUUGUGUCGAUAUUAUCUCCUCGGACCUUGAAAAUUUAUGGUGGGGUUACGCGAACUUCUCAACAGGCCGUACCGAUAUCCGCAGCUGGUCUCCAAGGUGAAGAGUCUCUAGUCGAUAGAAUAAUGUAGGUAAGGGAAGUCGGCAAAUUAGAUCCGUAACUUCGGGAUAAGGAUUGGCUCUGAAGAUUGAGAUAAUCGGGCUUGAUUGGGAAACAAUAAAAUGGUUUUAUGUACUCGUUCUGGGUAAAUAAAAAUUCCUUCUGGGAAUUUUGUUCCCCGGAUAGUUAGAUACGUAGCCAAUUGUGGAACUUUCUUGCUAAAAUUUUUAAAGGUUCUUGUAGAUUACAUUUCGAAAGUUUUGUAUUUGCAUGCUUUUUUAAAUUAUAACGAUUAUCAAUUAACAAUCAAUUCAGAACUGGCACG
rnacentral:rRNA from 1 species